rnacentral:rRNA from 1 species
UGCUACAUGGCGAUACAGAGGGAAGCGAAGCUGCGAGGUGGAGCGAUCUCAUAAGUCCGGAUUGAGUCUGCAACUCGACUCCUGAAGUCGGAUCGCUAGUAUCGCGAAUCAGAAUGUCGCGGUGAAUACGUUCCCGGGCCUUGUACACACCGCCCGUCACACCAUGGGAGUGGGUUGUACCAGAAGUAGAUAGCUUAACCUUUUGGAGGGCGUUUACCACGGUAUGAUUCAUGACUGGGGUGAAGUCGUAACAAGGUAACCGUAGGGGAACCUGCGGUUGGAUCACCUCCUUA